AUGGCUGUAAGGACAUACAUCACUGUCUUGAC
rnacentral:piRNA from 1 species